ACAAAAUGUAAAUCCUGUACAGAUGGAGAAAGUUAUACUGAAUUUAACAAUGGUCUACAUCGGUGCUUACUGUGUACUGAAUGCAAACCUGGUUACAAAAUGAUAGCACCUUGCACCAGGAAGAAGGACACUGAGUGUCAGUGCAGUGAUGGCUAUUUCUGCCCUCCAGGCUGUGAGGAGUGUGUGAAAUGCAAGACGCGGUGUCCUGAAGGACAGGUGAUUAUGGAAAGCUGCAAUGCCACAACAGAUAUGAAAUGUGGACCACCAUAUCCCGGUUAGUAUUAUAACUUCAAACGAUAAUAGACCAAAUAGUUGUAAGUC
rnacentral:lncRNA from 1 species